rnacentral:rRNA from 1 species
UACGGAGGGUGCAAGCGUUAUCCGGAUUCACUGGGUUUAAAGGGAGCGUAGGUGGGGUGGUAAGUCAGUGGUGAAAUCUCCGGGCUUAACCCGGAAACUGCCAUUGAUACUAUUUGUCUUGAAUACUGUGGAGGUCAGCGGAAUAUGUCAUGUAGCGGUGAAAUGCUUAGAUAUGACAUAGAACACCAAUUGCGAAGGCAGCUGGCUACACAAAUAUUGACACUGAGGCACGAAAGCGUGGGGAUCAAACAGG